CCUACGGGCGGCAGCAGUGGGGAAUAUUGCACAAUGGGGGAAACCCUGAUGCAGCGACGCCGCGUGAGUGAAGAAGUAUUUCGGUAUGUAAAGCUCUAUCAGCAGGGAAGAAAAUGACGGUACCUGACUAAGAAGCCCCGGCUAACUACGUGCCAGCAGCCGCGGUAAUACGUAGGGGGCAAGCGUUAUCCGGAUUUACUGGGUGUAAAGGGAGCGUAGACGGUGAUGCAAGUCAGAAGUGAAAGCCGGGGGCUCAACUCCGGGACUGCUUUUGAAACUGUGUGACUGGAGUGCAGGAGAGGUAAGCGGAAUUCCUGGUGUAGCGGUGAAAUGCGUAGAUAUCAGGAGGAACACCAGUGGCGAAGGCGGCUUACUGGACUGUAACUGACGUUGAGGCUCGAAAGCGUGGGGAGCAAACAGGAUUAGAUACCCGAGUAGUC
rnacentral:rRNA from 1 species